rnacentral:rRNA from 1 species
UACGUAGGGUGCGAGCGUUGUCCGGAAUUAUUGGGCGUAAAGGGCUCGUAGGCGGUCUGUCGCGUCGGGAGUGAAAACUCAGGGCUUAACCUUGAGCCUGCUUCCGAUACGGGCAGACUAGAGGUAUGCAGGGGAGAACGGAAUUCCUGGUGUAGCGGUGAAAUGCGCAGAUAUCAGGAGGAACACCGGUGGCGAAGGCGGUUCUCUGGGCAUUACCUGACGCUGAGGAGCGAAAGUGUGGGGAGCGAACAGG